rnacentral:rRNA from 1 species
GACGGAGGGUGCUAGCGUUGUUCGGAAUCACUGGGCGUAAAGGGCGCGUAGGCGGCCUCAGGUGUCGGAUGUGAAAGCCCGGGGCUCAACCCCGGAGGUGCAUCCGAAACUCUGGGGCUGGAGGUCGGAAGAGGAGGGUGGAAUACCCAGUGUAGAGGUGAAAUUCGUAGAUAUUGGGAAGAACACCGGUGGCGAAGGCGGCUCACUGGCUCAGUUACUGACGCUCAGGCGCAAUAGCGUGGGGAUCAAACAGG